UGGGGAGAGGGAGGUCUGGGUGCCUCUCCUGAAGCUGCUGCCCCCGCGACCCGAACCCCGGACAAGCGGCAGAUGAUGGAUGGAUGGAUGCAUGGAUGGAUUUGCUGGAUAACUUGGUAUCCUCACUAUGUAUGGAAACAGACUUGUAUCAUAUCCAUGGUGUCCCCUUGCCUCGGCCUUUGUGGUUCCUGUGACAGCUGCAGACUCACCAUCACCCUGCACUGGAUAAGCAUUUGCUGGCCUCAGAAACAGGAGCAGAGGAUGCAGUGCAGUCUGUAAGCUAUGUGUGUGGCAUAGGCGUGCCAUGUUCAGGGCAACCAUGAAGAUGGAUGGAUGACAGAAUGGAAUUGUUAAUUCAAUAGACGGAUGCUUCACAUGCAACACUUGCAGGAUCUGAACUUGAGUUUCUGGUACCUGGUAUGAAGUUUCAGUAUAAAAGAAGUAAAAUAUUAGUGCUGAAACAUAUCAGUCAGUAAUAGACAAUGCUGGAUUUUUCCGGUCUAUUCAUGCAAAUAUUGAGUAUUAUACCGAAUAUUACUUCAGUUCCCACACGUUACCUUCAAACCAUGUCACCUGUCUGUUCCCUUUAGCAUAGCUACUGUGACCAACAUUUCAGUCUGUUAGUAUCGAAAAACAGUUUUCAUCAUCAUAGCAGCUCCAACGGUUUUCACACAAUGGUCACAUAAUACAUUAUUUCAUCACUA